CUGAGGUGGCUACAGCGUUAAAUGAUUUAGGAUCAGUGUUGGACAAACUCGAAAAACUUGAUGAAGCGACAGAAUGUUGCGAAAAAGCACUGGUAAUUAACGAAAGCAUUUACGGCAGCAAUCAUCCUUACGUGGCUAGAACGUUAAAUCAUUUAGGAUUAGUGUUGGACAAACUCUAAAAACUUGAUGAACCGAAGGAUUGUUACGAUAAAGCACUGGCAUUUAAAGAAAGCACUUACGGCAGCAAUCAUCCUGAGAGACGCCAAUAUCAGACAGUAUAUGAAAUAUGGCAGCCAUGUAGCUCUGUAAUUGUUGCAAAGUCUUACCAUUUCAUCUUGUGAGCGGAAGGAAAGCCAUUGAGUCCCUUUGGAAAUUAAACAAAUAAAUUGUAGUCGACGUUUGAAAAGCCUAGUAAAGAUCAAUUAUGCCUUAGCUCAGAUGAACAAAACGUUUGGAAACUAUUGCAAAAAGCUAAGACGCCAUACUUGUUAGUGCUAGAUUUCACCUUUGAAGCAAUUCAAAUGAGGAGAAGAUGAGAAGUGUCGUCGAAGAGUAGAAGCGUUGACCAUGAUUACAUAAAAGAUUAAUGGCCAC